UUUAGUAUUGAUUUGUGUUUUGUUGCUUGAGGACACGCAACGAUUUAAGUUUGGGGUAUUUGAUGAUUGGGUAAUAUACCCAUGAAUUGUAUAUAUUUGGACUUAAGUUAUUGUAUUCUCAAGUUAUUUAGAAGCAUUUUUAGUGUGUUUAGUUGUUGUUUUGCAGAUUCGGGAGCUGCAGGGGCAUUUCUGGGAAUCUUAAGCUUUUAAUGGCAUGACGGUAAAUAUUCAGCCUACAGCGCCGGGGCGCUGGGGCGGAACCUCAGUUGACCGACACGCGAGCGUUGACUUUUAGGCUGAAUUGAUUAGUGAAGGUUAUUUGAAACCUAAUUGGAUUGAGAUUGUGGCAAGCAAUAAAAAGAGACCAAGUGAUGUAAUUAAGCAUCUUAUCAAUUCAUUCAUUCAUUGGAG
rnacentral:lncRNA from 1 species